GACGAACGCUGGCGGCGUGCUUAACACAUGCAAGUCGAACGGAAAGGCCUCUUUCGGGUGGUACUCGAGUGGCGAACGGGUGAGUAACACGUGAGUAACCUGCCCUUGACUUUGGGAUAACUUCAGGAAACUGGGGCUAAUACCGGAUAGGAGCUCCUGCUGCAUGGUGGGGGUUGGAAAGUUUCGGCGGUUGGGGAUGGACUCGCGGCUUAUCAGCUUGUUGGUGGGGUAGUGGCUUACCAAGGCUUUGACGGGUAGCCGGCCUGAGAGGGUGACCGGCCACAUUGGGACUGAGAUACGGCCCAGACUCCUACGGGAGGCAGCAGUGGGGAAUAUUGCACAAUGGGUGGAAGCCUGAUGCAGCAACGCCGGGUGCGGGAUGACGGCCUUCGGGUUGUAAACCGCUUUCGCUCAUGACGAAGCGUUGUGUGACGGUAGUGGGUAAAGAAGCACCGGCUAACUACGUG
rnacentral:rRNA from 1 species